UUCCUGGGGGAGCCCCGGCAGGGGGCUGAGAUCCCGCCGGGCCGGUGAUGACCAUCGGCGCGCGGGAACCCUUCGAACCUGAUCCGGGUCAUACCGGCGCAGGGAACGG
rnacentral:ncRNA from 1 species